CAAAUACUCCCUCCGUCCGGAAAUACUUGUCAUCAAAAUGGAUAAAAGGAAAUGUAUCUAGACGUAUUUUAGUUUUAGAUACAUCUCUUUUUAUCCAUUUUGAUGACAAAUAUUUUUGGACGAAGGGAGUAGAAA
rnacentral:pre_miRNA from 1 species